CUGAAUGCCUGCUUUGAACAACUUUCGCACCAAAAUAUAUAUCAGUGUUUGUGAGCUGGUUAACUAUAGCAAGGGCUAAGUAGUUCUUGCUGUAAACCUGUGUGGAUCACAGUUGUGGGCUGCAGGAGAGACUGUUCCAGCUAUGCAGGCAGUACUGUGCAUUCUGCCUUGCUGUUUCUGGGGAGCUGAGGAGCUCUCAUCUGCAGGAGAGCAGGGGCCUUAAAACUUUGGUGUUGUGGAGAGGUAGGGAUGUCAGUGUUGGAGGAGUCUGCUGGCAUGCCUGUAUAUCUCUUUCCAGGAUUGAAGAGGCCAAAGGUCACUCCACAGAAUUUCUUCAUCCCACAGAAUCCAUUUCUUCACGAGGAAUGCUCUUUAAGGAUCCUGGCUGCACAAUAACUUCAGGGAGGUCUGAAGGUGAAGUUUCUGGGCUGUGAUUCUCAGUGGUUAAGAUUUCCGGAGAACCUACUGGAAGAACUCCCACUGAAUUCAGUGUGUACAAGAUCAGACUUGCUGGGCUGUUUGUUCCAGGGCAUAGAAUACUUCUGCUUCUUCUGAGAUUUGCUGAGUGCUUGAUUGCUCUGCCCAUACCUCAGCUGAUGACAUCAAUGGCUCUGCAGACAUAUCCUGUCUCUUCUUUCAUCUCCUUGGUGCUAGCCUGGUCACUUCUACAAAGUACAAACUUCUUAAGACUGCUUUACAGAGAAGGCAGGAAACAAGAGAGUAAUAACACUGGAAAUGGCCUAUUGUUUCUUCUCUGGCAAACUCCCUCAGGACAGCAGUUCUGGGAAUCAGCUCUCUAUGUGAAGUUGUGGUGAGAUGUAUUGGUGGCAUAUGCCAUGGUGAAUUUGCCAGGCACAGAGGGAGUCCGUUGGGGAAAAGAGCAGAGAAGCACACUAAGCUGUCUCCAGAAGCAAACCUUCAGAAAUGCUCUGCAAAGGUGCCUGAAACUUAAAAUUUUUCCUUUGGUAAAGAUGAAAGGCAGGACUUCUGACCCUUACUUCUGACUAGGAUGGAAACUUGGGCUUCUCUACUUCAUAGAAGUACAUUUUAUGAUAGACAAGAGAAAAUGAAGAUCCUUGAGGGAAGGCUAAGAAAAUUCCUCUUCCUUCCAAAACUGCCUUGCAGGAUCAGUGGAAAAUUUCUGUUCAGAACAAGAUCCUUGGCAAGGAUACACCACCGCCAGGUGAGAAGCAGAUGCCCUCAAGGUCAGGCAAAGCAUUUCGACAUUCUUCUUCCUGUUUGCUCCAGGUAUACCUCAACAAAUAAAACUGAGAACCUUCUUGCCUGUCAUCCUGAACUGCACAUGCUGGUGAUUUCCAAGCAAGAAGAUGCAUACAUAACAGACUCCACAUUCCCAUGGAUCAGAUACCGUUAUGCUGCCUCUUGCAAUAUUUGCAGUCUGCUGCCACAUCUCAGAGCUGCCAGGAUCUGACCUGGACCUGCUGCUCUCUCCAGAUUAUCUGCUUGUCUCUAACUCCACCAGGCAUGAAUGCAUGUAGGAGUGCUGUUUGGAAACAAUCGGAAAGUAAGAAUAAGAAUGAUCUUUCUACUCCGGAAGCUGUGUGG